ACAGGCAUUUUUUUCUUGUCAUUAUUCCCCACAUAAUACCAUGGAAAACUUAUUAUCCAGUAUUUACAUUGUAUUAGGUAUUAUAAAUAAUCUAGAGACAAUUUAAAAUACACAGGAGGAUGUAACUAGGCUAUGUGCAAAUACUAUGCCAUUUUAUAUAAGGGACUUGAGCAUCCAUAGAGUUUGCUAUUUGCAGGGGUUUCUUGAUAUCAGUCCACCAUGGAUACCAAGGGAUGGCUGUACUUUUGUUUUAAAACAUUCCAUGCUAUCCACUGUAUUCUGUAUUUUCUAAAGAAAAGCUCUAAUUCUCAGAACAACAGAACAACUCUCAAAAGAGGUUCUCUUACCCUGUGUUACCAACUUGGAAGUUUAGUUUUAGGAUUUUUUUUUAAAUUAUUAGCCAAAAGGCCAAUAAGACAAAAAUGUGUGUGAUCCAAGAUAUUUAUAUAAUUCAAAGCCUGUACUUGAUCCAACAAACCCUAUUGACAGUAUCAUUCUGCUUCAUUCAGUCUCUGACAGUAACUGUUGCUUGAAACUGAUGUGAUGAAAUGGAGGAAUAGGGUAAGGAUGUCUUAUCGCAUGUUCUGAAUCAUCUCAAAAUUUAUUCACAAAUAUGCUAUAAUAAAAACUCUGAUAUAAAACUUGACUAAAACUUUUUAUUUUUAUAUAUGUGCUAUCCUAUACCAAUGACCCUCCCUCUCAGUAUACACAUACACAUAUCACUAACACCGAUAAAUGAAAACAUAACAGAUAUCAAAAAUUUACUGAAUGUUACUAUAGGGUUAGACCUUAGCUUCUUUAUGUAUGGAAAAGCAGAUUCUUGUCUGUAAAUGAAAAAAAUCCAACGUUAAUUAAUAUCAUAACCCCAAAAUUUCUGCCUGCCAUAAAAAGAUAGUUAAGUAAACAUAUCUGUUCAAAAGUUAUGGUAGGACUUACCAAGUCACAAUAUUUGGUUUUCCUCUCCUUUCAGGUAUCUGGAGAAUUACUUUUCUCUGUUCCUUUGAGUGUAAGAGUAAAAGUAUGGGCAUAUGACUAAUCCUGGUCCCUAAAAUCUGGGUAGAAGUUGUAUGUGGCAUUUUUCAGGAAAUACUUUUAGUUACCAGUACCAGUUUAGUUCAAUUCUCCAUUUUUUUCUUCUGCCUCUGCAAACCCUAAAGCCUCAUAGUAGGAUGGUAAUAUCACAAGAUGGCGACUACUCUCUUCCUUUAGAAGUCUGAGCAUCUAUAAUGAGCAGAGUUCUUCUGGUGACAUGUGGAAUGAGCCAGAAAUACGAGUUCAUAUAUGAAAUUUUUAUGUGCAAUAUGUAAUAUAAUUUCAAAGAGAUAUAUAGCUUGCAACAGUCCAGUGUGGGCUGUGAACAUAUACCUUUGGUACUGUAUAUUUAUACUCCUCUGCCUGAGUAAUCCUGCAUUACAACAAAAUGGUUAUAGCUUUAUACUGUCCAAUUCUGCUCCUCAUUCAACCACGUUCAAGUCUACAGAAUACACUAAAAAAAUCUCUAGGGGAUUUUUCUGUUCAAACAAUAUUUUUACUCCUAAAUGGAACCAGAUGGAAUAAGAUGUCUCGAAUACUGACCCAUAUCAAUCUAAAAAAUUAAAAUACAAAAAAAAAACAAAAGGCAGAGUUGAUCCAGCAUGUAUUUAUUGAUCCAGAGAUAACUUCAGAUUACUAGAACAUGAAAGGGAGACCUGAAGAGAGCACAUUUUGUCUGUGUGAAUUUAUUCCCAUUUGUGUUCAAUUUCUACUCUAGUAUUUUUCCAUGAUAACGUACUGUGAGUCAUCUUUUUAUAACCAAGAAAAUAUUUCUUGCUUUUAGCAGCUUAAGGAAAAAAAGCAGUUUAGAAAUUAUUCCAAACUCCACAUCUUUGAAGAAACAACUUUUUUGUUGCCUUAGACAUUAUUUUAUCAUUGGGAACUCCACAAAAACUCAUAGCUCUGGAUAUUGGACAGAUGUUUGGUGGGAGAAUUAAGUUUAGAGUACAAAAGAUGAUUUGUGCAUAAAAUUAGUUUUUAUUGUUUAUAAAAUACAUGCAUAUUUAUGUAAUCAUUUAUACCUUUCAUCAGUUACUUUUCCAAUGUCACAUAUUUACAACUUUAAGCAACAUUAUUUAAUUGUGAUGAUAUAAGACAACUUUCACUUUCCUUAUCAAAUUAAGCAUGAUGACAGUGUAUUUCUCUCAAAAUGUCAUAACAAAUUACUGCAUUAUUUGUAAUAUGUAAGUACUGCAUAUUUGUAAGUUCUUACAAAUCUAAUAUAUUUAAUUGCUUUCAUACAUAUGUGAACUUUUUGUCAUUAAAAUGGUUAAAACUCCAGAGAAGUAAAAAUAUUACCCAAAAAUGAUAGUAAAGUAACAUGAGCUGUGGUCGAGACAUUUAAAGGGAGUUAAGUGAACAUGCACAAAUCAAAGAUGGGAUAUAAUAACUAUCUCUAAAGUACAGAUAAUCAAACCAUUAAAAUAAUUCUUUGUACAUUUUAUGUUUACUCUUACAAUGGUCAGAGCUGUUUCACAUUCAACCUUUUAAAUGAUUUCUUAAAGCUAGAUGACUGUGUUGAAGAAAAAAAUCUAGAUUCAAAUCCAGUUGCAGUCUACUGUAUUCACUUCUUUAAAUGAUGUCAACACAAGUAAUAUAACCUCAUUAUUAUGCAGAAGAAAGUCAUCCCAAGAUCAAAGAAUGAGAGCUGAUACAAAUUAUGAUUAACAUGCGAUAGCUGUUUAAGUGUUCAGUGACUUCAGUUCAUUUUAUGUGAUCAUUCAUUUAAUUAUCCUCUGUUGUCUGCUUCCAUAGGUGACGAAUUCCAGUUAUGAAAUGCAGUCUCUAUGGAGUUGCCAAUUCUUCUGUUUUGUUACUGUCUUUUGGGCUCAAGUCAUUAAAAUUGUGUAAUUCUAUGCCUUUAAAAGUAUGAAGAUAUUUUUAUUUAUAUAAAUUAAGUUAUACAAAAACUGGACAAGUUGAUAAUUAUUUACUAUCUCUUUGUCAAGUUUAAUUUUAUUUUUCUCAUGUCUCAAGCUAUUUCUCUUUUUCUUUUCUAAGGCUUUGUUAAAAUUAGAAGCUGGGAAAAAUAAUUUUCAGUUGGCCUUUGGAAGUAUAUAAUGUGAAAAAUUUAUCUUCUUAAUUGAAUUGCACACUUAUGAUAUGUGUGCUUUUCUGUUUCUACAUUUCAUUUUAAAAGUUAAAAGAAAUGUAACCUUAAUAGAGUAGUUUCAAGUAUAUCUACAUAUAAGGAUUAUCUGUGCUUUUUCAAAAUUCGAGACAGAGUCUUGCUCUAUUGCCCAGGCUGGAGUGCAGUGGCACUAUUAUAACACACUGCAGGCUUGAACUCCUGGGCCCAGGUGAUCCUCUGGCCCCAGCUUUCCAAAGUGCUGGGAUUACAGGCGUGAGCCACCAUGCCUCAUUCUAGUUGUACAUUUUUGCUUUAUUUUAUUUUUAUACAAUUUCCUCGACCAUAGUCUGGGAAACUGAUUCAGAAGGUCUAGGGUAGAGUCAGAUUAUUUGAAAUUAUUUUUAAGAAGAUCUCCAGGUGAUUUUGAUCACCUCCCAGAUUUGAAACAACUCUAACACACAGAGAUGAAACAGAGGGAAAAACUUACAUACCCACAAACCAGAAGGGUUCAGUAAUUAAUAUGGAUCAUUUACAUUGCAGUUUAUUGAUUUGAUUAUUGCAUUUCUCAAUAAAUAAAAAGUCAUGCCAAUGAGGUAACUAUGAGCAGAACAAAUGAAUUGUGGGGUGCAUGUAUAAUGGAAUACACUAUUCCAUCAAUAUUGAAUGAACUAGAUGGAAACUGAAUGGAUCUCACCAAUAUAUUUAGCAAACAGAAAAAAAAUUGCAGAAACAUAUAUAUAGUGUGAUACGUGUAAACAGAAGUUGAAGGGCAAAAUAUACCAUAUAUUACUUAAGUAUAUAUCAAUGAACACACAGGAAUUUUAAAAAUACCAAAUUCAAUAUAGUCUUUACCUCUGGUGGAGAGAAGAGGAGAGAUACUCAAGAUCAACCUUGGUAAUGUUGAUUUCUUUUUUUAGUGGUGAGGGUAAAAUUUUUUUGUUUUAAUAGGAGCCUUACUACCAUUUGUAUCUGAAAUAUUUCAUAAGAAAUAAAGUUUGUUGGUUAUGGAAAUAGCCUGAUUUUCAUUUUCAUACAUGCAGAGGAGAGUAAAGGGAGCAGGCGUUUUAUGUAUCUUCAAUACAAUAAGUUUAAAAUGUCAGAAAUCUGUUGACUCGUUUUUGAAAGAAUUGAGAAAAUAAAAGGUAGAAAGUAGUGAAGAAAGUUUCUCUAAGAUUGCCUUAAAUGCCUUGAAUUGUCUCUCAUCUCAUGGAUGCCAUGAGGGAGGUUUACUCAUUUAAAAUAGUAAGUGAGGCAUGCAAAAUAAAGGAAAAAGUUCUGUAUCUAUGUUCUUUAUUAGUUUCCAAUGUCAUCAUUUACUUUGUUAAAUUAAUUCACGUUACUUUAGUCUAAAAACCACUAAUGAAAAAAUCCAUUUGGAUUCAUAGAUUAGGCAUGUGACAGGUAAGAUUUGAACUUACAUGUACCAUGCUUCCCUUCCAUCCUCAAUAUUUUUUUUAAAAAGCACACAAAUGCAUGAGAGUGGUUGCAGAUUACUUUCUGAAAGGAAGGAAGCUUUUGUUCUUCAUUUUGAUUUUAGAGGAGUUAUUUAAAAGCCCAGUUAUACUCUUUACUUGCAAACAUUUUUGGCUAUUUGUGAAAGUUCACCUCCAAGGAAAUCUAAUCAGCCAGACAAGUUAUUGUUUCAUUUUAGCCUGAAAAAAAAAAUCACACAUAUAUAAAAUUACACACACACACACACUUUUAUUUUAAAGAUAGGAGGUCUAAAGAAUAUAAAAUAUGGCAAUGUGUUUCUAAUGUGUUUGAAAUGAUCAUAGCAAAUAGUGAAUUGCCACUAAAUUAUCAACAAAUUAUUUGCAUUUGACUUUUGCGUCAGUUUCUAAUUAUCAUAUAACUUGAAACAUAAACAUUGGUUAAUACUCUUUUGCAGACAUAUAUGAUCUUUUAAUGGAAUUUAAUCAUUUAAUUAUACUACUCAUGUAAUAUUUUUAAUUCAUUAAAAAUAUUGCUAUAAAAAUACUAUGUUUUAUAAAUGAAUGGUAAGAUUUGAAGAAACAAGUUUGAAUGUUAUCACUUUUUUCAUGGUUAAAAAAGGAGACUGUUUUUUUCUUUUAUAAUAUACCCAGAAGCCCAAUUGCCAAGGUAGUUUUAUGUACUUUUCCACAGAUGAAGACACUUACACAUUAAUCUACACUCUAAAACAUGGUAGGUGCCUCAAAUGCUAAAGAAACAUCCAGUUUAACUGUGAGGCUGACGCCUCAGAUGUACCAGAGGAUUUUGUCAUUUAAAUACGAAAAUUCAUAGAUCUUUUUAUAUUUAUAGCAGCAUUGUCAGAGCUUAUCAAAAAUGAGCUGACUUACAAACUAUCAAUGGAUUUAACAGUAUGAUCUAAUAUUCAUAACAUCAGAGACAGUAUAAGUUGAGAGACAGAUUUUAUCUUUUUAUUGUUAAAGAUGUGUUUUUUAACUUUUCCUAGUAGAUUUUGUCUUUUCAUCUCAUAACUGCUCUAACGAAAGGAUCAUGCCACCAAUUUUAGUAUAUUCCAUUAUUCAUGUAAAAUCACAGCCAGUUCAAUAUCCAGAGAAGAAACUAGUUAGGAAAGUUUAAUAUUACCCAUGUUCUUCUCUAUGAGAUUCAUAUUAAAGUUUUAAUUUUGAUUUUGAUCUUUGCCCAAAACAUUGUUUAUUGUACAUAACAGUCUGCUUGUGUAUAAUUAAAAAGUUGUUAAAGGUGUUAAAUAAAGAUAAUUGAGAUGAGAAUGUAAAUCCCUUGCGAAAAAUAUUCCUCUAUUCCAAAAACACUGUAAGAAAUAUAUAUUUUAGCAUAAUUCAUUGACUAUAUUCCUAUACUAAAUUACUAGGGUCAGAAUUUCUAGAACAAAGAGUUAUCCAAUUUAAAUUGUUACCAAAUUUAAACAUAGAAGAUUAAAAUUAGUGGAGCCAGCUACACAGUUGGGUGUGUUCCAGGAUCCUUAUAUUCGUGUGUAUUUUUUGUUUUUAUAGAAAGAAAUAUUUUAAGUUACUUUUCAUUUUUAUUGAAAAAUAUACACACAACUAAAUUUAAAUGUUAUAAUUGCACAUCUGGCUAUAUUUUUGGAAACUUAACAUCAUGUAACCAGCACCACCCACAUAUCAAGGUUAACACCAUCCUGAUUUCUAACAGUGAAAGUUAGUUUCUCUGGUUUUGUUCUAAUGUAAAUAGCGACAUAGAGUUUACGUUGUGUCUGGCCUCUUUUACUCACUGUUAUAUUUGUAAUAUUUAUGCAUGUGUAAAUUGUUUAUUCUCAUUACCAUGUGAUACUCAAUUGAGUGAUUCUGGCACAUUUUUUCUAUAUUGGAAUAUUGGAUGGAAAUUUGGGUAGUUAUCAGUUUAGGCUAUUUUGAAGAGUGCUACUAUGAAUAUUCUACUCAUCUUUGGGUGAAAUAUGCUUUCAUUUCCAUUCAGCAUUUACAUGGGAAAGGUAUUGAUGGAUUACAGAGUCUGUAUGUGUUCAGCUUUAGUGCAUGCUGGCAAAAGGUUUUCUAAAGGCGUUUUAGUGAUUUACAGCGUCAUCUACAAUGUAUAAGUGUUUCAAUUGCUCCAUAUCCUAGUUCUGUUUCUGUUUUAUUUUGUUUUCAGGUUAGACAUUUUGCUAAAUAUGUAGUGGUACCCGAUUGUGAUUUCAAUUUACAUUUUCUUGAUGACCAAUAAAGCUGAGCAUCUCUUCAAAUGUGCAUUGGUCAUUUGGUUAUCACCUAGUUUAAAGAAUUUGUUCGUAUUCUAUGGAGUUGUCCUUUUCUUAGCGGUUCAUAGAAGUCCUCAAUAUAUUCAAAAUAUGAGUCACACAUUGGGAAGUUAUAUCACAAAUAUUUUCUCCCACUUGUAUUAUAUUUUCAGACUCCUAAUGAUAUCUUAUUUAGAUAGGUCACAAAAACAUGAAACAUAAAAGUAAAAAUCAGUAAACUGGAGUUAAUUUAAAUUAACUACUUUUCAAAAACAGUCUUAAUAUCACAGAAAAGCAAGCCACAGAUUGGGAGGGGGAAAAUAUUUGCUGUACAUAUAUCCAAUAAAAGAAUUGUUUUUGGAAUAUGUAAAGUACUACAAACUCAAAAAUAAGCAAAUGACUGAAAAACAAUGACAAGAGUUUGGUGAAGACACUUUACAAAAGACAUCUUAAUAUGGGGCAUAUAAUGAAUAACAAGAUGCUCAACAUCAUUAGUUUUCAAAGAAGUGAAAACUAAACCAAAAUGAGAUACCAACAUACACCAAUAAGAAUGACUAAAAUUAGAAAGACUGAUAAUACGAAGUGAUGGCAAAAAAUGCACAGCAACUUUGCAUUCAUAUAUUGUUACUAUGAAUGCGAAGUACUAUAGGCACAUUAGAAAACAGUGUGGAAUUUCUUAUAAAUUUAGACGUACAUUUACUACCUGAGCCACCAGUCUCACUCCUAGAUAUUUACACAAAGGAAAUGAAAAAUUAUACCCACACAAAAACUUGCCCAUAAAUAUUCAUGGAAAUUACAUUCACAAUUGCCAAAGACUGCAAAAAACCCAAGGUUUCUCUUUUUCUCUUUUAAAAAGUUUGAGUAAACAUCUGGGAAUAAAAGUAUGAUUUUGGUUCUCCUCCAUAUCUCAGGCAUUUUCUUCCCGUUCUUUUGAGAACAGCCUAUCUCAAACUGUUUAGACACAAUACUUAUGAGAGGUUUAAUCUUUCCUACAGAGGUUUUGAACUUUUCUCUAUGGCUCCCACAUUGUGUUAAAGAUUGGCAAAUAUUUUGAAAAGGUGACUAGCCAUGUGUUUGGGGAAAGUACCAUUCCCCCGGCGGAGCUUGGUUUUCUAAAUAAUGAGAGACUGUGAGAAAUUUCAAGUUCACUUAUUAGAAGCCCUCUACAUUCUGUGUGACUCAGGUUUCAGAAAAUGUAUUGUCUUAGCUCAUUUGUGUUACUAUCAAGGAAUACCAGAGACUGGGCAUUUGCAAAGAAAACAGGUUGAUUUGGCUCACAGUUCUACAGGAUGUACAAGAAGAAUGGUGCCAGCAUCUGCUUCUGGUGGGCAAUUAAGCUACCUCCACUCAAGGCAGAAGGCAAAGUGGAGCUAGAAUGUGCUAAAAUCACAUGGUUAGAGAGAAAGUAAGAGAGUAAGAGGGGAGAUGUCAGGCUUUUUUCCACAACCAGCUUGCCAGGGAACUCUUGCAGGAACUAAUAGAAUGAGAAUUCAUUCAGUUCCCUCCCCACAGGGAAGUUAUUAAUCUAUUUAUGAGGGAUCUGCUCCCAUGACCCUGUCACCUCCCAUUAGCCACCACUUCCAACACUGAGGAUCACAUUUCAACAUGAGGUUUUGCAGGGACAAACAUCCAAAGCACGCAUGUUGUGAAAAAAUCAGCCUUGUUUGGAGAUCUAAUUUUUUUUACAUUGUGCCCAAUAGACCACAGAAUCGCUAGUUUCUCUUCCUCAAGCCACAUUCUUCUUCAAGGGAAAACCUGAUUUUUAUUCCCAAGAUUGGAAAUCUGCAAACGAUCCUAGGGAGGGAAAUGACUGGAAUUUCCAUUAUUUAAUUCUCUCUGUUUUCACAGAUCUCUUAUGCUUUAAACAACGUAAAUUUUACAAUUAAUCUGUCUUGUAUAUCGUCGUGAUGGGAAUAUUGUUUGCAGCAACCUACUAUUGCUUUUUUAGCAUUAGAAGUUUCUUCUAUAUAUUUUUAUGUCAAUGUUUAGAUUUCUAAGAAAAACUUUGAUAUAUUCUCCAAGUUAAAAUACACAUAUUUUUAAAGUUUCAACAAACUUUUAAGUUUAUAAUCUGAGAAACAGUCCUAAAUUUCAAAAAUAAAUAUCUGAAUUAUUUAACAUAAAAAUUAAUCUGAUUUUUAAUAUUGAUUUGUCCUUUUGAAAUUUGUCAUUGGAUUUAUAUUUUUAAAUACUUACACAAAUGGUCACUGUGUUAUUUUCUUAGCUACAAGUUGAAUCACAGCAUUCCCCUUUGGGAAACCUUUGUUUCUUUCUUUUAAAGAAUAGAAUUUCAAUUCCUUUUAUGGUGGUCAAUAAUUUCCAUAAACUUGUCUUAACUACUUUUAUAGUAGCUACAUCUCCUACUGCAUCUAUCCAUUAAUCUGAGUCACUGAUUAUUCAAACAUAUUCUCUAGGUAUCCCUAUAUACUCUCAAAUCUAUGCGAUUUUACCACUGUAAUCUUCUAAGUAGAACACAACAAUCAACCUUUCUGCCCAUCUAAAUCUUACUAUUUUUCCAAGGGCUAACUCACAUAGCCCCUCCUCCAUUGAGGAUUACUCUAAUGAGAAGUAUACUCAUCUUCCUUUAAAUCCUAAUCAUUGUUCAUUUCUCUUAUCACUUAGUUUUUCCUACCCCCUUUUUUUAUACUCGCUGGUCUCUAGAUCUUUCCCAUAUAGUAGGAAACUCCUUGAGGAGGAGCCAUACCUUAAUCAUGUGUAUAUUUCUUAUAUACCUGCAUGAAAGGUACUAAAAUAUUUGUUGAAUAUAUGUGACUAUUGUUUUUAUUACAUAAAUAUGGUUCAUUGGUAGAAAACAGCACUAAUAUUUUAUAGUUAGGAUCCAUUACCUUAAAAUAGACAUUUUAUCUAGUUGACGUCCUAGCAAAUUACCUAAUCUUUAAGUACUUAAAAUGUAUAUUUUAAAUUACUAAAUCUUGCUUUAUUUUCCCUUUAAGAGCAAACUACUAGCUACAAUCUUUUCUGAAAGCUUUUCCUACUGUAUCUUUUGGAAUAGAGUAACCUUUUGCACAAAUCCCAGCUCAGCACUUGGAUAAUUUGAAUGACGAUUUCUCUAUUUCAAUAUAUGAAAUCAGAGGAGUUUAAGGUGAAAAUUCACUAAGUAUAUAUAGGCAUUCCUCAACUUGCAAAAUAUUUUCAUGAACACCUUAAUUUUAUAAAUGAUGUGUUGCAAGCUUUUAUUCAGACUACUUAAAUAUAAAACACUUAUUGCUCAGACUGGGCGUCAAUAUUGUUCUCUAAGGGGGGAAAUAGCAGCAGUUUUUGAUUGCAAGAAAAUUAUAGUCUUUCCUGUACUGUAAAUAUCAAAGACAUCAUAAGGCAGGUAGAAAGUUGUAAAAUUUCUCUUUCAGUAGUUGGACAAUAAAGAGAAAAAUAAAUAUCAUCAUGGACUUUAAUGUGCACAGAAAAUAAAAUGUUCAAUAAAAAAUAUUAAUUAUUUCUAGUUUCAUGCUUUCUUGUUUACACAGGUAAUAUAUUUCAAAAUAUUUUAUUUACCUUUAAAAUGAAAAUACUAAAAAAUGUAUGAGAAAAGAAUAGAGUAAAGUCAAGAUGCUUUAGCUUGGUGGUUCACAGUAGGGAGAUUAAAGUAAUCCCAAUAUUUUCUUGAUUUCUUAAGGUUUAACAAGUCAUAUUCUUUGACAGUAAAUGUUACUAGAAAUAAGUAAUCCCAACUGGCUGAGGGAUAUGAGAAAAAAGUAUCAGCUCUAUUUGAGAUAUAAAAUGAGAAUGCUAGUAAUAAUAAAUCUCUCUCUUUAUUUCUCUCUCUCUCUCUUUCUUAGAAAAGGUGUCUCCUUAUUGACUAGAAUGGUAAAUUUAUGUUCCUAAAAAUGGCCUUGGUGGCAGCCUAAUACCAACUUGCAUUUGAAGAAUGUUAGAAUUGAGGUACAUAAAGUGAAGUGAUUUGUCCAUGGUUAUAAAACAUAUUAUCAGAAUAAGGAUUAGAAGCUGCUUCUAAACAAGAUUGGGACCCAAAUCUUCUGUUAACAGUUCUAUAUACCAACUCACUUUCUUUGAUUUUUCAUCUGAUUAGAUCAAUUGGAACUUCUUUGUGUGUAAAACAUUUUCAAACUUAACAGAAGUCAAAAAACAUGGUUUUGAUUUAGUUUAAACUUUCCAAUUAAUUUUAAUUAUUCUUUUUCAUACUCAAAAUUUCUAGAGCCUGCAAAGCUGACUACCUCCAUGCAUAAACCAAAAAUUGAGGUUUCUUACAUUUUUAGUAAAUAUCUUCAUUUUAUGGAGCAUGCUAAUUGACAAAAAAUUUGGUCAUUUGGAAGUAGUACAAGGUUGCUCUUGGCUGCUCUCAUUUGUAGGAAUUCCUGAUCUGAGUGCUGUAUUCUAUAAAUGAUUUCUGGAAUUUGGCUUAGAUGCUUAGUUCAGUCUGCAUGUUCAGCUACAUUUUCUCCUCUCUACUCAUCUGCUGCUCAUGCCUCCCUACAACUAACUACCUAUAGAAACAAAGCCUAUGUCUCCAGCCUUCUGUGACACCAAUAGCUACCACUAGGUCCUCCUAUUUCAGGCAUAUUCCAGGAUGAUCCUGCCUCUUCUCUCAUUUCAGAUAUCCUGCCUUGUCUAUCUUCAUGCCUAUCAAGCUGACAGAAAUGGACCGUUCCUUUCUUGUCUACAGAGAGGGAAAAGAAUUUCAGUAUACACCACUCUCACCAGUCUCCAACAACACAGCUCUUUGUGGCAUUUGGGGCUGCCCUCAAUAGGAAGCAUGUCAUUCUACAUACAGAGAAUGGUUGGUUUACACAAGACUUCCUGCUGCUGCCAUCACCAACAGAGAUUCCUAAUGUAGACAUCUAACACAUUCUGAUCUUGCAGUAAGCUUAGCAAAGAUAUUUCUGGUAAAAAUGUAUUCAGCAGCAGAAUGACUUCAGCAGUUCAUUUAUCACUUGAUAUGCCUGUUUUGCAGUUGUGUGGUCCCAGGAAUGCUUGCUUACUAUGAUAUUUUAUAAUAGUUUCCCAAGAUUUUUUUUCCUGGACUCUGAAAAAUUGCUAUGAAAACCAAUAGUGUAUCUUUUUUCCUUGGGGGAUAAGGUUUGGAAGAAGUAGUAGAAAUGGGGUAGAAGCAAUUCAGGUUGGGCAUAUUUAACCACUCAUAAGAAACUUAGUCAAUAUUAAUGGAGGCAUAAUUGCCAGAUCAAUUGAAAUAAUUAUCCCUCCAUAUUCUGCACUGGGAAGACUACAUUUAUAGACAGUUUAGAAACACUGGAGUCAGAUUUAUCACAAUUACAAUCCCAACUCUGUGGCUUAGACCUAACCUCAUAAUGACACAUGGUUGUUAACCUCUACUUUAUGACUAUCUAACAUUUAAUUACAGUAUAUUUAUAUAUAUAUACUGUAUAUAUACACACAAAUAUAUAGAACACACAUAUAUAGAAAUAUAUACUGUAUGUAUAUAUAUUUUUACAUAUACUGUGUGUAUAUGUGAUAUAUUAUAAUCAUAUAUAUGAUUAUGAUAUAUAUAUCAUAUAUUAUA
rnacentral:lncRNA from 1 species